GCGGCCCGCGCUCUACAGGGCUACGGACUGCAGUCAGCCGUGGCCCAGGGCGCCGCGCGGGGCGCUGGUGGUCUCGCUGCCCGUGGGUCUGGACUUUGUGUGCCUGCAGGAGGUAUUCGAUCUGCGCGCGGCUCGUCGCUUGGUGAAUCGCCUGGCGCCCAACCUGAGCCCGUUGCUGUACGACGUGGGCACGCUCGGCCUAAAGCCCGGGCCGCACCUCAAGCUGCUGGACAGCGGGCUGCUGCUGGCCUCGCGCUACCCGCUGCUGCGCACCACCGUCGGUUGCUUCCCCCACGCACGUGGCGAGGACGCGCUGGCCUCCAAGGGACUAUUGUCCGCACAGGCGAGGCUGGGCAGCCUGGACCGGCGCCGCAUCGUGGGAUUCCUGCACUGCACGUAUUUGCAAGCACUGGCUGAGGACGGGCCCUUGCGCAGCAAACAGCUGAGGCUGCUGCUGGACUGGGCCGAGUUUGGGGCCGAGAAGUUUGAGGCCGACAGAGAACAAAGUGGAGAGGUCGUGACUUUCAGCGUGCUCCUGGGCGACCUAAACUUCGAUAACUGCUCGAAAGACCACCGGCUGCAGCAGGAGCACGAGCUCUUCCGCUGCUUCCAGGAUCCCUGCCGGCUGGGCACGCGCCAAAAGCAGCCCUGGGCCCUGGGGACAGCGCUGAGCACCUCCGUGCUCCAUCACUCCGUGGCCUCCUCCCCCAAGAUGCCGAGGCGGUGAGUGGCGACCUGGAAGUAGGCACUGCCCACCCGAAGCGCGCAGGGGGGCCCUGGCCUUGAUGACACCGCCCCCCCUACAAGGGCCCUGGAGCAGGAGAAAGGGCGCCACCUCUACCUGGCCGGCCCUCCCGGCAGAAGCCGCUGAGCUAAGCCCUGGAGAGGUCGGCGCCUGGACUACAUCACGUACCGCGGAGUUCCCGGGUGGCUGGGCCUGCGGCACUGGGACGACCCUCAACCUGACUCCCACCCCCAGGAGGUGGAGCAGGUGACGUUCAGUACUGCCCUGGCGGGGCUCACGGACCACCCGGCAGUGGGCCUGCAGCUCCGAGUCUCAGUGUCCUCCUAAAGCAAGCACAGAUGACAGGCGCGCAGCUGGCGCGCACAGACACGACUCGGAGCACGAACUAGGCGCGGUAGCCGCGUGCCCAGAACGGGGCGACUUAAGGCAUCUUUAUUGAGGGAUCCUCACACGGCCUCCUGGGCCCGGCGAUACUCAUAGACGCUGCCGUGCUCGGGAAAGGCCAGUGCUUGCGGGGGCGACCCCGGCGGUGGGGCGGGGUCCUCCGGGUCCCCAUAGCCACCGCCGCCGGGCGUGUGGAGACAGAACACAUCCUGUUGGGGGGGGCGGGGGGGAGGCGGGCUCAGUGCAGGUGUGGCCC
rnacentral:sRNA from 1 species